GAGGGUAUAGCCCAGUGGUAGAGCAUUCAACUGCAGAUCGAGAAGUUUCUAGUUCAAACCUGUAUGCCCCAUAUUUCA